UUUUUUAUGCCCCACCUACGAUAGUAGAGGGGCAUUAUGUUUUCUGGUCUGUGCGUCCGUUCGUCCGUCCGUUCGUUCGUCCGUCGUCCGUCUGUCCCCUUCAGGUUAAAGUUUUUGGUCGAGGUAGUUUUUGAUGAAGUUGAAGUCCAAUCGACUUCAAACUUGGUACACAUGUUCCCUAUGAUAUGAUCUUUCUAAUUUUAAUGCCAAAUUAGAGUUUUGACCCCAAUUUUACGGUUCACUGAUAGAAAAUGAUAGUGCAAAUUUCAGGUUAAAGUUUUUGGCUUCAGGUUAAAGUUUUUGGUCAAGGUAGUUUUUGAUGAAGUUGAAGUCCAAUCAACUUGAAACUUAGUAUACAUGUGCCCUAUGAUAUGAUCUUUCUAAUUUAAAUGCCAAAUUAGAGUUUUGACCCCAAUUUUACGGUUCACUGAACAUAGAAAAU
rnacentral:lncRNA from 1 species